rnacentral:rRNA from 1 species
UACGUAGGGUGCGAGCGUUGUCCGGAAUUAUUGGGCGUAAAGGGCUCGUAGGCGGUCUGUUGCGUCGGGAGUGAAAACUCAGGGCUUAACCCUGAGCCUGCUUCCGAUACGGGCAGACUAGAGGUAUGCAGGGGAGAACGGAAUUCCUGGUGUAGCGGUGAAAUGCGCAGAUAUCAGGAAGAACACCCGUGGCGAAGGCGGUUCUCUGGGACGGUACUGACGCUGAGACGCGAAAGCGUGGGGAGCGAACAGG